GGGGGGGGGGUUCCAGGCUUGUGGGUGAGGUGGGAGGGCCUGAGGUGCAGCCGUGUGGGUGGAGAGAUGCAGAGGGGGGGGGAGAGAGUGCAUGGAGUGCGUGGGGUUGCAUGGGGUUGUGUGGGGUUGCAUGCAGUGCGUGGGGUUGCAUGGGGUGCGUGGGGUUGCAUGGAGCUCUGUGGGGUUGCACUGAGUGCAUGGGGUUGCAUGGGGUUGCAUGGAGUGCAUGGGGUUGCACUGAGUGCAUGGGGUUGCAUGGAGUGCGUGGGGUUGCAUGGAGCUCUGUGGGGUUGCACUGAUUGCAUGCAGUGCGUGGGGUUGCAUGGAGCUCUGUGGGGUUGCAUGGAGUGCGUGGGGUUGCAUGGAGCUCUGUAGGGUUGCACUGAGUGCAUGGGGUUGCAUGGAGUGCGUGGGGUUGCAUGGAGUUGUGUGGGGUUGCAUGGGGUUGUGUGGGGUUGCAUGCAGUGCGUGGGGUUGCAUGGAGCUCUGUGGGGUUGCACUGAGUGCAUGGAGUGCGUGGGGUUGCAUGGAGUGCGUGGGGUUGCAUGGAGUUGUGUGGGGUUGCACUGACUGCAUGGGGUUGCAUGGGGUUGCAUGGAGUGUGUGACGUUGCAUGGAGUGCAUGGGGUUGCAUGGAGUGCGUGGGGUUGCAUGGGGUUGUGUGGAGUUGCACUGAGUGCAUGGGGUUGCAUGGAGUUGUGUGGGGUUGCAUGGAGUUGUAUGGGGUUGCACUGAGUGCAUGGGGUUGCAUGGAGUGUGUGGGGUUGCAUGGAGUGCAUGGGGUUGCAUGGAGUUGUGUGGGGUUGCAUGGAGUUGUAUGGGGUUGCACUGAGUGCAUGGGGUUGCAUGGAGUGUGUGGGGUUGCAUGGAGUGCAUGGGGUUGCAUGGAGUUGUGUGGGGUUGCAUGGAGCUCUGUGGGGUUGCACUGAGUGCAUGGGGUUGCAUGGGGUUGCAUGGAGUGCGUGGGGUUGCAUGGAGUUGUGUGGGGUUGCAUGGAGCUCUGUGGGGUUGCAUGGAGUUGUGUGGGGUUGCAUGGAGUGCAUGAGAUAUGUGAGGUUGCACAGAGGUGCAUGGGGUUGCAUGGAGUGCAUGGGGUUGUGUGGGAUUGCAUGAAGUUGCAUGGAGUUGUAUGGGGUUGCAUGGAGUUGUACGGGGUCUCAUGAGGUGCAUGGGGUUGCAUGGGGUUGUGUGAGGUUGCAUGGAGUACAUGAAGUGCAUGGGGUUGCAAGGGUUUGCACGGGGUUGCAAGGAUUUGCAUGGGGUUGCAAGGGUUUGCAUGGGGUUGCAAGGAUUUGCAUGGGGGUGCAAGGCUUUGCAUGGGGUUGCAUGGAGUGCAUGAGGUGCACGGGGUUGCAUGGAGUUGUGAGGGGUUGCACAAAGUUGCAUGAGGUUGCACGGGACUUCACGGGGUUGUGUGGGGUUCAGGAGGGUGCAUGGGGUUGCAUGGGGGAUCCAUGGGGUUCAUUCCAUAGGGGUGCAUGGGGUUCUGUGGGAUUACUUAGGGUCAUGGGGUCGUGGGAUCAUGGAAUCAUGGAGGUAGACUGAUAGGAUCAUGGAUUUGUAGGGGCGCGGGGUCAUAGAAAUGUAGGGUCGUGGAAACAUGGGGUCAUGGGGUCAUAGAAUCAUGGAGGUAGACUCAUAGGAUCAUGGAUUUGUAGGAGCAUGGGAUCAUGGAAACGUAGGGUCAUGGAAACAUGGGAUCAUGGGGUCAUGGGAUCGUAGAAUCAUGGAGGUAGACUCAUAGGAUCAUGGAUUUGUAGGGGCACGGGAUCAUGGAAACUUGGGAUCAUGGAAACAUGGGAUCAUGGGAUCAUAGAAUCAUGGAGGUAGACUCAUAGGAUCAUGGAUUUGUAGGGGCGCGGGAUCAUGGAAACGUGGGGUCAUGGAAACAUGGGGUCAUGGGGUCAUAGAACUGUGGCAUGGUGGAAUCAUAGGGUCAUGGAUUUGUAGGAUCGUGGAAUCAGAACCAUGGCUCAUGGGCUGGAAGGGACCGUAAAGACAAUAAAGAACCAUAGGGUGGUUGAGUUGGAAGGGUCCUUGAAGAUCAUAGAACCAUAGAAACUCACAAUGGUUGGGUUGGAAGGGUCCUUACAGAUCAUAGAAGUAUAGAAUCCCACAAUGGUUGGGUUGGAAGGGAUCUUAUAGACAAUAUAACAAUAGGAUGGUUGGGUUGGGAGGGUCCUUGAAGGUCACAGAACUAUGUAAGUUCACAAUGGUUGGGUUGGAAGGGUCCUUGAAGAUCAUAGAACUAUAGAAUCCCAUUAUGGUUGGGUUGGAAGGGACCUUAUAGACCAUAGAAGAGUAGGAUGGUUGGGUUGGAAGGGUCUUUGGAGAUCACAGAGCUAUAUAAGUUCACAGUGGUUGGGUUGGAAGGUCCUUGAAGAUCAUAGAGCCAUAGUACUGCAAAAUGAUUGGGUUGGAAGGGUCCUUAAAGAUCACAGAACUAUAGAAUCCCAUUAUGGUUGGGUUGGAAGGGACCUUAUAGACAAUGGAACAAUAGGAUGGUUGGGUUGGGAGGAUCUCUGACGAUCAUAGAACUAUAUAAAAUCAUAGUGGUUGGGUUGGAAGGGUCCUUGAAGAUCAUAGGGCCAUAGAAAUGCACAACGGUUGGGUUGGAAGGGACCUUAUAGACCACGGAACCAUAGGGUGGUUGGGUUGGAGGGGUCCUUAAAGAUCAUAGAACUAUAGAAUCCCACAGUGGUUGGGUUGGAAGGGUCUUUGAAGGUCACAGAGCUAUAUAAGUUCACAGUGGUUGGGUUGGAAGGGUCCUUGAAGAUCACAGAACUAUAGAAUCCCAUUAUGGUUGGGUUGGAAGAGACCUUAUAGACCACAGAACCAUAGGGUGGUUGGGUUGGAGGGGUCCUUAAAGCAGCAGCACAUCCCCAAUGUUCCCCUCUCCUCCCACCCACUGUCACUGCUACACUCCUGGAGCCGUGUCCGUCCCUCCGUCCGUCCAUCCGUCCAUCCCCCCCUUCCCUCCCCUCAGAGCUCCCCAGGAUGUGGGGAGGGGGCAGCAGUACAGCCAGCACUGUCCCCACAGCCACCGUAUGCUGGGAACCCAAAGCCUGCCCGUGGGAUGCACA
ensembl:lncRNA